ensembl:lncRNA
CUGGAAUUAACUUUGGGAUUUUACAAAGAGCCCCUGGAACAUCUCAGAAAAUCUGUUCUCUCUCCUUAUAAAAAGAGAAACAUUAAAUUGGGCUUAUUUGACAGGUUAAAUUACAUGGAAAGAUUGUCAAAUAAGGAACAAUCCUAAAUUGUCUUUAUGGAUCUCCUUCUAUAUGAUAUAUGUUGUUAACAUAAGUAUUAAAUUUUGUGACUUUUUUACUCUGCUUUUUAAAUUUAUCGAAAUCUCUAAAAUUUCAAUAGGUAAUAUUAUCAGCAAAAAUUUCAGUUAUCAUCUUAAAAUGUUGUUUGUCACAAAAAGAAGCAAAUUUCCUUGACAACUGCACUCUUUAAGGAACUAAGGUUGACUUUAUAGAGCCAAUAAAGCCCCUUGGAAAAAUUGGCCUCAAACCAUAUUUACAGGGUUCCGAGCAGAGGUUACCAGGUGAGUAAGGAAGGUCAUUUCCCGGCAGGCACAGCGACUUCAGAAUAUUUGGGGGAAACUCGAGAGGAAUUCAUCCAAGUCCCUAGAUACUGCAGGCACAAUUAAUGGCAAGUUUGGGGCUUGGUUCCUAGCCUAGAGAGGCUUUUAAAAGUUCGGUCUCAGAUUUCUUAUACAUGAUUCUAACAAAGCAAGCUUAAAAGAGCUUUUAUGGUCUAUCACUGUUCUUACUGGACUUAUAUGUAAAUAAUCAGGCCAAGUUUAUUGCAACUAGACUUAAUUUGCAAACAAGUUAGUCUUACUACAGUUAUCGUUGAUAGAAAUAGGGAUGAUUGUGGAGAGAAAAAUCAUGUUGCAAUAGAAACCACAAUGCACACUUGUGGAUAUUGGAUGCAGUUCUGUUCAUUGCCUUUCAGGUUUUGUUUCCUACCGGAAACACACUGGACCAGAUAAUGAAUUCUUGUUUCCUCCACUAUCUGGCUUCAACUCUUCAAACUAACAUUUUCAAUUUUUCUCCACCUAACUGACUUGGAAUCAUUGAGAACUAAAACUGCCCUUUUCUUCCAGAGCCAUGCAAGCUAAAGUGGGACAACUUGAUAUAAACUUUAAGAAGUCACCUCACUCCUAUGUGGACAACUUUAAGAAGUCACCUCACUCCUAUGUGGACAAUCUUCAUGCCUACUUCUAUGUAGCACACUCAAAAAGCCACCAGAGACAUUCAAACUGCAAACCAGGAAAAUCUAUCAGAUUGCCACUGUCUGCCUUACUCCCUCGAAAGAUGCUUUGAACCCACCGUCAGGAAAUCUCGAUCAGCUACCAUCAGAACUCAGUAAGUGGAGUUGUAAUCUCUCCAAUCAUUAACCUUGAUGUGUGUGUUUUGUUUCUUUGUUUCUGUGGAAGUUGCCUCUUAUUAAAUACCUGAUGCAGGAGUUCCCUUGUGGCAGGGUUUAAGGAUCCAGCAUUGUCACUGCAGCAGCCUGCGUGGCUGCCGUGGCGCGUUCGAGCCCUGGCUCGGGAACUUCCACAUGCGCAGCCAAAAAGAAAAACAUAAUGAAUAAAUAAAUAAAUACCUGAUGCAAAUACUUUUACCACAUGGACCUAACUUGGAGAACCCACCCGUGUCACAGCCUCCUGAAAUAAGACACAACACUUUAACUGAGCUGAUCUGUUCUCAGGACUAAGAGACUGGUUCAGGGAGAUAUGGAGCAAUCUGCCAAUUCAGGAGAGGUUCAAACCUACUUAUACCAGAUGACCCAAGAUGUUAAAAUAUUCCACAAUCUUACCAUAUCUUUGAACAGAUUCCCGGACCCCUGAGAUCACUAACCUAUUGCAUGGCUUGGCUUUUCAAGUUUGGGACAAUGGGUACAGACAGGAUUUCGGACUAUGGCCAGUAUAAUUAUUAUAGUCUUGCUACCAUAAUCCUAUUUAUAUGUGCAAUUUCUGGGUUACAACAUGCCCCACACCUGACUUUUAGUGUCUUUGCUCCCUAGGCCCUAGGCCAUUCAUGUCGUCGUCUUCUCGUGACUAUGAUGUUUCAGCAUCACAGCGUGGAUUGUAAUACAAGCCUUGACAGUUGGCUUUUCUUUUUGCAAUGCAAAUGCCUGAUUUAAGCUUCCAUUGCCAAGGCAUCCACUUCAAAGACAAUUGUCUUGAAAAAACACAUUGCUGACCCACAGAUCCACAUGAUUAAAGAGCAGACUGUUGGACCCAUCUCCAUAGAAAGACAACCAGUGAUGACAAAACAAGCCAUUUUGGAGCAUCAGCUAGAAAGGCUUUUAGAAUUAAUGCUAAUUUUCUCACUGACAGUUCCAAGGCAGUGGUUCUGUAACUUGAGCAAACACGGCAAUCACAAGGAGGACUGCUAAAACAUAUAUUGCUAAGGCUGUACCCUGGAACUUCUGAUGCAGUAAAUCUGGGACAGGGCCCCAGAACUUGUGUUUGUAGCAAGUUCCCAGGUGAGGCUGAUGCUGCCGUCUGGGGACCACACUUAAAGAGAAGCACUGUUCUAAGGUACACUCCAUGACAUUGCUGGCCUGUGAAUUUUAGGAUCCCAGGAAUAUGACUCACAGAAUUAGCUGAAAAACAAAACUCCUCCUCAUCACCUCACUUUUCCUCCCCAAAUAAACAAGUCCACGGAACUAACCAAAAAUUAAACUAAAAUUUCCAUAACAGAUAAUACUAUACAGAAACUCUUCUGUUAGAGAUAUUUCAAGGUGAGGUCGUGUGAGCAAAGGGGAACUCCUAACAUAUUUCCCUAGAGACCAAUCCUUGACAACAGUCUAAGU